GACGAACGCUGGCGGCGUGCCUAAUACAUGCAAGUAGAACGCACAGUUUAUACCGUAGCUUGCUACACCAUAAACUGUGAGUUGCGAACGGGUGAGUAACGCGAAGGUAACCUGCCUGGUAGCGGGGGAUAACUAUUGGAAACGAUAGCUAAUACCGCAUAAUAUUGAUUAUUGCAUGAUAAUUGAUUGAAAGAUGCUAUUGCAUCACUACCAGAUGGACCUGCGUUGUAUUAGCUAGUAGGUGAGGUAACGGCUCACCUAGGCGACGAUACAUAGCCGACCUGAGAGGGUGAUCGGCCACACUGGGACUGAGACACGGCCCAGACUCCUACGGGAGGCAGCAGUAGGGAAUCUUCGGCAAUGGACGAAAGUCUGACCGAGCAACGCCGCGUGAGUGAAGAAGGUUUUCGGAUCGUAAAGCUCGGUUGUAAGAGAAGAACGGGUGUGAGAGUGGAAAGUUCACACUGUGACGGUAUCUUACCAGAAAGGGACGGCUAACUACGUG
rnacentral:rRNA from 1 species